GAGGUGGGAGGAUCCCUUGAGCCCAGGAAGUUGAGGCUGCAGUGAUUACUGAUUGCACCACUGCACUCCAGCCUGAGUGACAGAGCAAGACCCUGUCUCA
rnacentral:miRNA from 1 species